UACGGGGGGGGUAAGCGUUGUUCGGAAUUACUGGGCGUAAAGGGCUCGUAGGCGGCCAACUAAGUCGGACGUGAAAUCCCUCAGCUUAACUGGGGAACUGCGUCCGAUACUGGAUGGCUUGAGUUUGGGAGAGGGAUGCGGAAUUCCAGGUGUAGCGGUGAAAUGCGUAGAUAUCUGGAGGAACACCGGUGGCGAAGGCGGCAUCCUGGACCAACACUGACACUGAGGAGCGAAAGCCAGGGGAGCAAACGGG
rnacentral:rRNA from 1 species